UUUUCUACCCGGUGUUCGGUAACCACAUUAGAGUCUUGACUAAAUCCGAGUUCGUGCCAGGAAGUCCCACAUUGGAGGGUAAAGAACUCCACAAUAAAGGAGCCUCCUUACCCACAAGGACUCAAACCCGAGACCUAUAAUUAGAGAUGAAGCCGUUAGUACUUACCACUCCGCCACAAUCCUUGUUGCUAAACGAAAGAGCAUCAUAACUUACAUUGAACUACCAUUCUCAAAGAAUGGCAUUAAGACGCCUAUUAUAUAACUGAAAUGUAAAUUCAUAUCGGAUACCAAUCAUAAUCUCAUGUUUAAAAAUCUCUCGCCAAGAGGAUUUCCUAUUAGUAUUAUUCAUGUGUUAUUUCUACACUUUGAUACGUGAACACUUCCUAUUUUUCAAGGAUAUCCAAAAAAAAAANNNN
rnacentral:lncRNA from 1 species